rnacentral:rRNA from 1 species
ACGGGUGCGUAACGCGUAUGCAACCUACCUAUCACUGGGGGAUAGCCCGGGGAAACCCGGAUUAAUACCGCAUAAUACAGGGGGCCCACAUGGGUCUAUUUGUUAAAGAUUUAUCGGUGGUAGAUGGGCAUGCGUUCGAUUAGCUAGUUGGCAGGGUAACGGCCUACCAAGGCGACGAUCGAUAGGGGAGCUGAGAGGUUGAUCCCCCACACGGGCACUGAGAUACGGGCCCGACUCCUACGGGAGGCAGCAGUAGGGAAUAUUGGGCAAUGGAUGCAAGUCUGACCCAGCCAUGCCGCGUGCCGGAUGAAGGCCCUCAGGGUUGUAAACGGCUUUUAUUCGGGAAGAAGAGCAGGGAUGCGUCCCUGUGUGACGGUACCGAAUGAAUAAGCACCGGCUAACUCCGUGCCAGCAGCCGCGGUAAUACGGAGGGUGCGAGCGUUGUCCGGAUUUAUUGGGUUUAAAGGGUGCGUAGGUGGCUGUUUAAGUCAGUGGUGAAAUACGGUUGCUCAACAAUCGAGGUGCCAUUGAUACUGAAUAGCUUGAAAUAAUUGGAGGCUGCCGGAAUGGAUGGUGUAGCGGUGAAAUGCAUAGA